UGAGUGGUGUUUGGUUUGUUACGGGUGGUUGGCUCUUUGCUUGCGCAACAACUUCUACCUGGCAUACCUCUUCAGUCUUGUGUCAAUGCUUGUAUUGCAUUGAAUGCACGGUGGGUUUCUUGUGUUGCAUGCCUAAUUUAAUGGUAUUGCUUGAUGUAUUGGUUUUCCUUUCGUUUUGCAUUGCCUAUGCGAUGUGAGAUGAACCUUGAAGCAGCCUUUGUGAUCCACUGAUUUGAUGUAUAUGCAUUGAUUUUGUGGCCCAUUGAGUGUUGCUCGGUCUCAUGGAUAUGGAACCUGGUGUGGGCAUGGAAUCUUAAUGGUUCCUUGUUUGCCCAAGUUUAGCUUUUCUAAAACGAUUGUCUAUCAUGUGUUAACAUGCUAGACUACUUCGAAUAUGAAUGCUAC
rnacentral:misc_RNA from 2 species